rnacentral:rRNA from 1 species
AGUGAACGCUGGCGGUAGGCCUAACACAUGCAAGUCGAACGGCAGCACAGUAAGAGCUUGCUCUUACGGGUGGCGAGUGGCGGACGGGUGAGGAAUACAUCGGAAUCUACUUUUUCGUGGGGGAUAACGUAGGGAAACUUACGCUAAUACCGCAUACGACCUACGGGUGAAAGCAGGGGAUCUUUGGACCUUGCGCUAUUGAAUGAGCCGAUGUCGGAUUAGCUAGUUGGCUGGGUAAAGGCCCACCAAGGCGACGAUCCGUAGCUGGUCUGAGAGGAUGAUCAGCCACACUGGAACUGAGACACGGUCCAGACUCCGACGGGAGGCAGCAGUGGGGAAUAUUGGACAAUGGGCGAAAGCCUGAUCCAGCAAUACCGCGUGGGUGAAGAAGGCCUUCGGGUUGUAAAGCCCUUUUGUUGGGAAAGAAAAGCAGCAGGUUAAUACCCCGCUGUUCUGACGGUACCCAAAGAAUAAGCACCGGCUAACUUCGUG